GAUGAACGCUGGCGGCGUGCCUAAUACAUGCCAGUCGAGCGAACGGACGAGAAGCUUGCUUCUCUGAUGUUAGCGGCGGACGGGUGAGUAACACGUGGAUAACCUACCUAUAAGACUGGGAUAACUUCGGGAAACCGGAGCUAAUACCGGAUGAUAUUUUGAACCGCAUGGUUCAAAAGUGAAAGACGGUCUUGCUGUCCCUUAUAGAUGGAUCCGCGCUGCAUUAGCUAGUUGGUAAGGUAACGGCUUACCAAGGCAACGAUGCAUAGCCGACCUGAGAGGGUGAUCGGCCACACUGGAACUGAGACACGGUCCAGACUCCUACGGGAGGCAGCAGUAGGGAAUCUUCCGCAAUGGGCGAAAGCCUGACGGAGCAACGCCGCGUGAGUGAUGAAGGUCUUCGGAUCGUAAAACUCUGUUAUUAGGGAAGAACAUAUGUGUAAGUAACUGUGCACAUCUUGACGGUACCUAAUCAGAAAGCCACGGCUAACUACGUG
rnacentral:rRNA from 1 species